UACGUAGGGUGCGAGCGUUGUCCGGAAUUACUGGGCGUAAAGAGCUCGUAGGCGGUUUGUCGCGUCUGCUGUGAAAGACCGGGGCUCAACUCCGGUUCUGCAGUGGGUACGGGCAGACUAGAGUGCAGUAGGGGAGACUGGAAUUCCUGGUGUAGCGGUGAAAUGCGCAGAUAUCAGGAGGAACACCGAUGGCGAAGGCAGGUCUCUGGGCUGUAACUGACGCUGAGGAGCGAAAGCAUGGGGAGCGAACAGG
rnacentral:rRNA from 1 species